rnacentral:misc_RNA from 1 species
CAUCAACAGAAGCAGAGUAUACAUGCCAUCUUUGGGAUUUUUCAGGACUACCCAUCACAUAUGCCACACUAUCCAAACCGAGUUUAACAAAAUGGCCAUCAAGGACAGCUACUUCCUCAGAGAAGCUUCUAUGUGGAAAUGACUGAGCCCCAGGAAAUAUGAAGCUCCCACGAGUAUACCUCACAGAACAUACAGUGAGUGAAAGAGUAUCAGCCAAUUUCAGAAUUGCUGGGAUUGAAAGAAGCAAUUUGGUAGUCCCACAAGUUUUAAUGAUAACUUUGUAAGGGUACACAAAGAGACUAGAUUCUGAAAGAACAUAGGAAUCAAUGUGAUCAUUUGAAAGCGAAUCAACAAUGGUGCAUUCAGCUGGUUUGAGAAUCUCAUCUAAUUGAGAUUUGGACAGAGAGCGGAGGCCCAUCCCUCCAGGAUCAG